ACUCUUUCUAUUUAUUGAUUAAAAUAAAUACUCCUCCUAUUUUUCUUAUUUGUUUUUUAUUUAUUUUAUUAAGCAUCUCAAUUUGAUGACUCUAUUGAUUCAAAUAUUAUUAAUGUAUUAGAAGAAAUAUUGAAUUAUCCGCCUUUUAUAUUGAUUCUAUAGACAUUUUAAAUGAUAAGGAACAAAUAUUUAACAAUUAAAAAAAGUCUAAAGUGAGAAAAAUAAAUAAAUAAAAAUAUAAGAAUAUCAUGUUCUAGAAUUAAGGUUAUUAAAUGCAAAAGAAAAAAAAAAAAAAAGGGCAAAAGCAAAAGCAAAUAAAUACAAAGACUUGUCUAAAUGGGCUUGAACAGCAAUAGUGACAGUAGAGAGCUGCUAUAGUUAAAGCCCUUUAAAUAGGGGAAAGUUUAAGAGAAGCCCACCAAGAAAACCCUAGUUACCCGCUUCAUGCUCCUAUAAAUCAAUCACAUCCUCAGUCUCUCCAUCAUUAGCCACUAUAGUCGCUUCGUUCCCUUCGCAUGCAUCUCUUUCUUCUUCUGUUUGAGAAAAAUUAUUUUCUGUCAUUUCUUUUUUAAGUUAAGUUUGAAAAGCCAAACUGAUUUUAUUCCGAGAGAAGAGAGGAUCGCAGUGAUGACUCAGGAAUUUCAAGCUCAACAGACCGGAAUGCAGGCUUCUCUUCUUUAUAGAGAAUUUUGCGUGUCGACCUUCCCGCUGACCUGAGCGUUCUUCUCUAUCUCAUAUAUCAGUUUCGUUACAUCUAAUCGUUCUAUUGAUUUUGAUAUUUUUGUCUUGAAAUUUUUGGCGGUUGAGAUUACAAUGAGGAUUUUCAGCUCCCUCUUCUGAUUUAAGGUUGAGGAAAUUAGCUGGCAGAAUCGAACCUAUAAUUUUUUAGCCACUACUGAGUAAUCUCUAUCUCCAUUUUCAAUUUCUUAAAAUUAUGAGUAAUCUGAGUCAAUUAUUUUGGGAAUUUAGGGUUUGCUAUGAGGAUUCACAGCUCCCUCUUCUGAGUUAAUGAAGAGAUUAGCUGGCAGAAUCGAACCUAUAACUUUGCUUUUGCCGCUACUGAGUAAACUCAUUUCCCAUCAUUCUAUCUAUUUGGUCGAUUUGUUGUAUGUGUUGAAUUAGAGGUGCAUUUUGCGGAUGGGGAUGAAGCAAUAUUUAAAUAAUCCAACACUUGAUCUGAGACUUUAAUAGUCAAGUGAUGUUAACAUUAUCACUUCUGAAUCCGCUAAUGGUUUUUCUUUAAAAAUAAAUUUAAGCCAAGAUUUGAAAUCGAGUAGUUCAUUACAAGCCUUAUUUUGAAAUCACCAGUUUCCUGGUUCUACAAGCUGUGCAUUUCCUAAUGCCAUGCAUAUCAUAUCAUUAAGUUUACACCAAUGGAAAUUUUUAUUUAUUUGUAUGUACGAUACAAAAUAAAUGUAAUUGCUUUGAUAGAAUCCUUUUAAUCUGAAUCUGAAAAGUCUCUAAUCAGACCGAUUCCCUAAAUGCCUUCCUGGAUAUUAAAGAAGUCUCUAAUCCGGAAGAAAUCAAAGAAUUUCUUGGGAAUCCUACUAGAUCCAAGUUUGAUGGUACAUAUCGGGAUCUAGUUCUAGACAUCAUUGAAGUUUUAUGUUAUAAAUGAUUCAGUGUAAAACUAUUGAUUCUAACUGAAAGAUUCACAAAUUUGUUUUGGCUAUCCGUUUAUUUGAUUGUUGUGAUCUUAGAAUGUCCAUUCAUGUGGGUUCUUAAAUCCCCAAUAAGUGUUGUUCUUUCUCCUCUGGUGUCCGAAUCAUCAAAUGAUGAAACUUGGAAUAUCUUAGGACACCUUCCUACAUAGCUUUAAUAGCUAUGGAUGAGAAUAGCGUUUCCGUUCUGAUGAUGAUGAUAACAACUUUCUAGUUGUCUGUUUUGUGUUUCUGUGGAAAAUGAUUUUUUUUUGCUUGGCUCCUCUUGUAAUUGUGGGCUUGUUGCUGUUGGUUGUAUGCACAAUAGUUCGCAAUGAUGAUUUUUAAAAUUCAAGCUCAACAGACCGGAUUACAAGCUUACUCUCUUUGGGAAGUUUGUAUGUCGAUAACCAGCACUGAGCGAUCUAUUAGCCGGCCAACAUGCAUAUUAUUUUCGAUUCUGGUCGUCAAUAUAUAUUAGAUCUUGCCUAUUAUUUUAUACCGUUAAGUGGACUGUUUAGUGGGUAAUUAGUUCUUCCUAUAACGGCGUUAUUGCUCUCUGCAAUUCCUUGGGAUCAGGCAUAAUGGAGCAACAAAAUAAUUCAAUUUGGAAUCUCAACAUAAGUGCUGGAGGUGAAGAGUGCGGUGGUAGUUUGGUUUGGCAUCAUAGCAAGCGUGAGUCUUUUCUGUGAUUGAAGGUUAAGAGCAGUCAGUUUGGAUAGCACGGGAUGCUGGAUGGGCGAGAUUCCUAGUUUUGGAAAGGCAUUCUGGAAGAUGGAUACCCCCCCAAAGCUUAUAACUUUCUUGUGGAGAAGUUGAAAUGUCCAAAACUAUUAAAGAAGCUGGAAUGUACUAUCAGUUAUUCUUUAGUGCUCCGAAAUGAGGUCCCGAGAUCAACUCAGUCAAUAAUAGAUUUAGAUUCAGUUAGGUGGCAUAGUUAAUUCAGAUGCAGCAUUUUCAGCAGUUUCGGAAAAGCAAAGUUAUCUUCUGUGAGCAAAAACAGUGCUGUUAUUGUGGUUGAUGCAGGAACUAGGAACGCUAUUUGUUCUUCCCCUCUUGUAGCAGAGACUGUUGCUCUCGGUGAUGCAUUCAGUUGGGCAAGCUAUCUCUAAUUUCCUAAGAUAGCUUGUGAGAUUUGAUUCCUUGGUGGUGAUCAAUUUCAAUUACUGCUCUUUUGUGUUUCUACUUAGACUGUGUAGGUUAGCAAAUUUGCUUUCUAAGCAUGAUUCUUUCAUAUUAGUCCUUGUUGGAUAUGUAUUAGUUUCGAGAUUAACAGGAAAAGCCCCUCCUAAUGGAUGUUAACCUGAUUCAAUUCAAUGAGUUUAUCAUUCUUGACAAUAGAGAAAAAGAAUCACAGCUCUCGAUGGCAAACUUGUGAAGAUUGUCUACUACUUCAAUUCCGAGUUUGAAAAAAAUGAGUUAUAUCAUUAA